rnacentral:rRNA from 1 species
ACUCCUACGGGAGGCAGCAGUGGGAAUCUUGGACAAUGGGGGAACCCGUAGCAUCCAGCCAUGCCGCGUGAGCGAUGAAGGCCCUUAGGGUUGUAAAGCUCUUUCAGGUGGGAAGAUAAUGACGGUACCACCAGAAGAAGCCCGCUAACAUCCGUGCCAGCAGCCGCGGUAAUACGGAGGGGCGUAGCGUUGUUCGGAAUUACUGGGCGUAAAGCGCACGUAGGCGGAUUGGAAAGUU